AAAAAAGUAAAAAAAAAAAAAAAAAGUGAGAUAAGAGGAACAAGUGCAGGAGAGGCUCAGAGUUUAUCAAUUUAGUUCCUUCUUUAGCUGAAAUUGAUUCAAUUUACGGAUGCAAACUAUCAAGAUCCACUUUCUUCAGUUAUUACAGGUGACAUUUACAAUGUUUACUCUUCGUCAAGGACCGCCUAAGCGAGGGAGAACUAUUAUGGAAACAUAUUACAAACCUCAAUCUAGUCAAAUGACUCAAACAGAAGAAGCAGCAAGAAUCAAUGCUCCAUUUUCAUCUUCACCAAAUGCUAGAAAUCAUGAAGUAGAGUUGUAAACCUUAGACAUUAAGAAGGUGAAGCAAUGGAUACCCAGAGAGUACCUGACGUUGUCUAAAAUGCAUGUCACAAAGGGUCGAAGUGUACCAUUUGUGAAGCUAAUACUGAUCGAUGGUUUUUUCUUUUUGGUAGACCAUGUUUUUUGUACACUUGUAUCAACCAGACUACUUAUAUACAUAAUGAAAACUCUUUUGUACUGAUGCCUGAUUGUGUUCUCUUUAGCCGAUAUAAGUAAUGAGGUUUCAGAAGAAAGAUCAUUUGAAAUUAAUCUUUUUCUUUCAACUGACUAGUUCAUUGGUAUAGUAAAACUGCAGGUUGCUUUCGAGGAGUGGUCGGACAACCAUGGAAGUAAGGAUGGAUGCACUUUCUGCGAUAAAAUGGUUGGAUCUGUCAUCA